UUUUCAGUCAUGUACUUCGUAAUUAGUAAUCUAGUGUCAGAUCAUACAUUUCGAUGAACUGCUGUUAUUUACUUAACAACUUACCGUAACAUUUAAACUACAUACUUAGUUUGCUUGUAUGCUUAUGUUAUAACAUAACAAUACUGUUUCAGUACCACUUCUAAACAGAGGUGGAAAAAGUACUGAAAUAUUCUACCCAACAGAACUGAGGAAUUAUUUGAUAGCAGACUGUGCUCUUCCUAUGUAAUAAUGAGACAUGAACCACAUGACAGCAGCAAUAAAAACGAUUCUCCAGAUUCAGCUGAAGCAGAUUUCCAAAUAUGGGGAAGGGCUGUGGGCCAGGGGGGAAGUUUUUGGGCCGCCGGGUCCGGAUCAGGAACAGAAGCAGGCAGAAACCUAUCCACAGCAGAAUCAGAGACACCACCAUCUUGACUGUUGCCCCACUGCACUGUGCUCCGCUCCGCUGGGAACCUCAUAUGGAGCCAACGUCGUGUCAUCCAGUGACCCGACGCUUUAUUGGAUGGGGUCAUAUCUCUGAUUGCACAAGUAGUUAUUUGUUAACAAAUGUUUUAAGAAUACUUUAAUCAGAUUAACCAUUCCCUCCAAGACAAGCUACAAUAGAUAAGCUGGUCAUAGUGCUUUGGUUCCUUAAAUUACCGUGAUAACUCGAAAAGUGUUACGGCCACAUGUGUUGUGUUCUUUGCAUAUCAAUUCCCUUCCCUUUUCUGUAGCUCCGCCCAGGUUGUGCUACCCCUGGUUGCUAGAUGAGAUGCACCUGGCCAGGUGAUCAAGCAGCAGAUAUAGACUCCAGUUUCCUGCUGCAGGAGAGGCUUCUAGCUUGCUGCCUCUCAGCCUGGGAUUUUGUUGUACAGCUAUGUUUGUCUUGUAGUUGUUGAAUGCUUUUGUAUUAAUAAAUCUCAUGGAUUUAGUACUUUUAAAA